UAAUACGUACUGGGCGAACGUUAUUCGGAAUCACUGGGCUUAAAGGGUGCGUAGGCGGCUUCUCAGGUCCGGUGUGAAAUCUUACGGCUCAACCGUAAAAUGGCGCUGGAAACCGGGAGGCUUGAGUGGGCUAGGGGUGUGUGGAACUUCCAGUGGAGCGGUGAAAUGUGUUGAUAUUGGAAGGAACGCCGGUGGCGAAAGCGACACACUGGGGCCUAACUGACGCUGAGGCACGAAAGCUAGGGUAGCGAACGGGAUUAGAUACCCCGGUAGUCCUAGCCGUAAACGCUGGGUACUAGUUGGGAGGGGCUUCGGUCUCUCCGGACGCAGAGAAAUCACUAAGUACCCCGCCUGGGGAGUAUGGUCGCAAGGCUG
rnacentral:rRNA from 1 species